CGGCUGGGCAGGCCCACCGACGGGGCUGGGCUUGCGCAAGCUCCACAGGAAGUGGCGGAUGUAGAGAAGGUGCUGGUAGAUGCUGUCGUCCAGGCAGUCCGUCUCCAAGUCCACCUGGAAGCCCUCGCUGGGCAACACGAUAGGCAUGCCAGCCACCCCCCCACACACACCGUCGGGACUGGGGACACCGCCGGGGGGCACCCGGGCAAAGGCAACCUGCCCAAGCCAGCGCUCGACACUUCUGCAUCCAGUGACCACCCAGCACGAAGCCCGAGCUGCCGACCGGAACCUCCAGCCACAGCUGUGUCCCCCGUGCCUGCCCCUCCCGGGCGUGUCCCGGGGAUCCAGACAGCAGGGGGCUUGUCUGCCCUGGAACAGGAACCCCCCCCCCCAGGAGGAAGGCUGGCACCCACACUGUGGGGGGCCCCCAGCAGAGGGCCCGCCCCACGACAGGCCUCAGAAGUGAGGAGCUCUGUGGGCUCUGACCUCCCUCUUGGGGGGGGGUCUCCUGUCCCCAGGUGGGGAACAGGGCGGGGCACUCCAGGAGGAAGAUGGCCCAGGGCGGAGGUGGCCGAUGCUCUGCGGGCUCCUCGAAGUCCCCAGGGAGGCUCCCCUUCCCCCCAGCACGGCAUGCGGGGCCCCUGGCUCCUGCCCCCCGAGGCGGCUCACCUGACUUGAAGGCGUCAGGGCUGUCCUGGGCCCCUGGCUCCCAGGCACUCAUGGGGCCCAUGGCUGAGGCCAGCUGGUACUGGGUCAGCAGCCGGUGCAGCUGCGCGGGGCUCAGGGUGGGGAACGCAGCCCGCAAGUUUGCCCAGCUCAUCUGGGGGACAAGAAGGAGCUUAUGGUCAGGGGUUCCCCCCCCAUGGCACAGCCACACGCCCGGGGGGGCGUCUUCUGGGCACUUUGGGGGCAGGAGCAGAGGGUCCAGGCUUCCAGGUCACAUGCUCCCAGCUCACUCUCGCAGCGCCUUGGCGUCCGUGAGACAUGCUUCUCGUGACCUUGCCUCGCGGGGCUGAGAAGGGAGGAAGAGAGACCUGUGGACUCGGGGAAAGAGAAAUGGCAUUCCUGCCUCACAGUGUGAGAGACCCUACCUGCCAGGCUGAAGACAAGCAUGGAGGCAAAGCCUUCCCCCACUUGGAACCCCCAAGACCGGCUCUGAAGUUCUCAGGCUCCUCGUGGCCAUGGUCCCGACCGUGCGGUGCUAGGUCCCAUGCAAGUCCGUUCCAGCCCCGGGCUGCGCUGUCCGGAACGUCCGGGUGACUUGGCCUGAGGAUUCCGCCUCCCCGGCUCUUUCCCGACUUGCUGCUCGGAGCCUGGGCCUCGCCGGCAGGUCCUUCCCCUCCCAUCUUGCCGUCGCUCCUCUGCCUCCCUCUCCGGGUUUACUGCCAAGGGGCCUGGGCUGUGGGUAGCGAGUGCCUUUGCUGGAGGGACAGCUGUGUCCCGGGACUACCUAUGGGGGAGCACAGGGCAGCCGCUGGGAGCCCCCCCGGGAUGGCCUCUGCUGGCCCGAGGCGGUGCCUUUUGGUUUUCUCAGUUCCUAGAAUCCCAGAUUCCCUCCCCCGGCUGCAUGGUGUCCGGGGCUGGCACCGGGGAGGGCACCAGUGACCCAGCACGCUCCCGGGUCCUUACCCGAGUGCAGGGACACUUGCUGGGUGACUUCCUGGACUCUCUCCCGAUCUUGCCACUGAAUCCUUCCUCUCUGCUGUCACAGUGUAAGUUUCCAAGAAUCUUUUUGGUUCUUUUAUAUAUAGAAUCCUGUUAUUAUUUUACAGACACUGAGUCUUCUGUUUUUAUGAACAUUUUGUUCAUUUGUUUCUUCUCCCUGAGAAGUCUGUUUCAGGGGAUGGCAGACUAUGGCCUGAGGCCUGUAUUUAUAGGGCCCUCGAGCUAAGAAUGGUUUUCCCAUUUUAUAAAGAGCUUAACAACAAAGAAUUUGGGAUGGUGACACUGUGCGGCCUGCAAAGGCUAACGUAGCGAUCACCCGGCCCUUUACAGAGAAGUCUGCCAACCCUAUCUGUGUCCCCUAGCCUCUCUCCCCACGUCCAUCUCUCGUGUUGGAAGCUGCCCCCUCAGUCUGCCUGGCUGGCUCGUGGUGGGACGCGGGUCGACGUCCUGCACCCACCCUGGGCUGUCACCGACCACCCAGCACUGCCAGGCCAGCCACCUGCUGGGUGGAAGGCACAGGCCCCUGCGCAGCUGGCCGCGGCACAUGGCCUCCAGCGCUCAGAAGCGCCUUGGCCCCCAGGAAGCCCCCUUUUUCAGAAUAAGAUUCCUGGUGUCAGGGUGACAGCCUGGUGUUCUCCUGGAGACCCUUCGUUGGCAGCACUCUAGCAAUCAGCCGGGGCUUCUGCCGGCGUGAGGGGGGGGCACGCGGCCGUGCAGGAAGGGGCAGCUGAGGACCCAGCGCUGCCGCUCCGUCCUCUUCCUGUGCGUGUCAUGUUAACGAGGGUGGCCCCGUGACCUCCCCACGCGUGUCUGCGACAUGCCGGCCGCAGCCCUGGUGGCAGGAGAGCCACAGCGAGCUCUGCUCGGGCAGCCAGGCACCCCUUGCUAUGAAUAAAUGUUUCCGCAGUUUGACGGGGACACAGUCA